AGAGUUUGAUCAUGGCUCAGAAUCAACGCUGGCGGCGUGCCUAACACAUGCAAGUCGCACGAGAAAGGGGAGCAAUCCCUGAGUAAAGUGGCGCACGGGUGAGUAACACGUGAAUAAUCUACCUCCGAGUGGGGAAUAACCUAGAGAAAUCUGGGCUAAUACCGCAUAACACUUACGAGUCAAAGCAGCAAUGCGCUUGGAGAGGAGUUCGCGGCCGAUUAGCUAGUUGGCGGGGUAAUGGCCCACCAAGGCGAUGAUCGGUAUCCGGCCUGAGAGGGCGCACGGACACACUGGAACUGAAACACGGUCCAGACUCCUACGGGAGGCAGCAGUGGGGAAUUUUGCGCAAUGGGGGAAACCCUGACGCAGCAACGCCGCGUGGAGGAUGAAAUAUCUUGGUAUGUAAACUCCUUUCGAUGGGGAAGAUAAUGACGGUACCCAUAGAAGAAGCCCCGGCUAACUUCGUGCCAGCAGCCGCGGUAAUACGAGGGGGGCAAGCGUUGUUCGGAUUUAUUGGGCGUAAAGGGUGCGUAGGCGGUUUGGCAAGUCUUAUGUGAAAUCUUCGGGCUCAACCCGAAGCCUGCAUAAGAAACUGCCGGGCUUGAGUAUUGGAGAGGUGAGUGGAAUUUCCGGUGUAGCGGUGAAAUGCGUAGAUAUCGGAAAGGAACACCUGUGGCGAAAGCGGCUCACUGGACAAUAACUGACGCUGAUGCACGAAAGCUAGGGGAGCAAACAGGAUUAGAUACCCUGGUAGUCCUAGCCCUAAACGAUGAUUGUUUGAUGUGGCAGGUACCCAAUCCUGCCGUGUCGAAGCUAAACGCGAUAAACAAUCCGCCUGGGGAGUACGGUCGCAAGGCUGAAACUCAAAGGAUUUGACGGGGGCCCGCCCAGCGGUGGAGCAUGUGGUUUAUUCGACGCAACGCCGAAAGAAC
rnacentral:rRNA from 1 species